AUCCAGCUGGUGAGUCCAAAAUAGGACGAAAUCUGCAUCCUGGAU
rnacentral:hammerhead_ribozyme from 1 species